CAGCCAAUCCUAUCUUUGCCUCGGUCCCACUCCCGCACCAGCAGCCGCACGAACCCUAGCCGCUAUUCCCCUCGAUCCCCAUAGCCUCUCCUGCCUCAUGGAUCCUCGCCGCCGCCUGCUACUCCUACUCCACCACUGCUGCUGCUUCUCCACCACGCUGCCCUUCCACCUCGCGUUCCUUCUAUCCGUUGUAUAUGUUGCCGUCGGCGGCGCCUGGUUCCAGAUCGGGCGCAGGUUAGCAGAGUCCGGUGUUGAGGUGAAGGAGCAUGGGAGAGGGGGCGAUGAGGACAAGCAACUUUCGGCCGUUGCCAUGGCUGAGGCUACAGGAAAGAGGUAGGAAGCCGGAGGGUGAAGGAGCAGGCCGGCCCUCAUGGAGACGCCGCCGCCAGCCGUGGGCCAUUCGCCGUCACUGGCCUCACGCCUCGUCUCCUCUCUCUUCACCACCACAUCCAUGUUGUUUUUUGGAGAAUGGUGCUCCGAUCUGGUCCCUAUGGUAAUAUCUUCCCUUAUUCUCCCUCCUUUGAUUUCUAAUAAACUUACUUUGACGUGUUGUCUUGACAUAAAUUGUGACGUCUAUUGUUAUACCAUGGCAUGUGUAGUGCUAAUGGUUUCCUGCUAGGCAACUUCAGGCCUGCAACAUUUACAGGGGAGGAUUGCAGGUGUCGAUACGAUGGAGCAAUUUCUGGUUUUGUGGUUGGAGCAUAGCCUCAUUUUCGCAAGAGUUUGGGUUUCUCAAGAACAAUGGGAUGUUAAUCUUCCAUGCGCAGCGGCGGUGCAUCAAGGUGCAAGGCAGCUGCGACAUGUUCAUAGUACGCUAAAGGAUGAGCUCCUACUUUUGCUGAUGCUAGCUCCUUGCUGCAGAGUCAUUGUGGUGCCUGUUGGGCCUUUGGUGUUGUGGAGUGUCUGCGAGAUCGUUUCUGCAUUCCUCAUGUCAUGGUGAGUGCAUAUGGACGAUCUGUCUACUAUCUGGUCUAUUUUUAAAUAGGCAUGUCGGUCUUUUCUUACAUAAGCAGCCUGCUGUUUCUAUUCCUCACAGAACAUUUCAGUUUCUGUCAAUUCACAUUUAUCUCCAUGUUAUCUUGGUGUAAGGUAGCUUUGAUGAUGUGUUGAGGCGGUCUGCUCAGUGUAAGAACAAAUAGUUGGCCACUCCCAUUUUUAUCUCAUUUCGUAAUCAUCGCAAGCUAUGCCUAUGUCAAUAUCUAAAAGUUUUUGCUAUUUGUUUCUCCUCCUUUAAUCAAUAUUUGUAGGAUUGUUAGUAAGGUUGCUCAUCGUCAAGGAAAGUGCUUUGUGGAUACUUGCAUGACUAAGGAAGAAAUUUGUUAUUUGAAGUAUGCACUAGAGAUAUUGCAAGGUAUUUCUGUUACCAGACGAAGAAAUUUGUUAUUUGAAGUAUGCAUUAGAGAUAUUGCAAGGUAUUUCUGUUACCAGAUUCAUAUCUUUUUUUGGGACCUAUGUACAGAUGAUGAUUCGUAGCUGCAGUUAUUUUUGUCCUAAAGAUACAAGCAAAUUGAAGAUUAGACUUCUGUAUGGAAAUUUAAAUAGUGGUUCCCUGGAAAGCAAUUUAAUUUCUUGCAUUGAUUUCUCUGAUAUAACCACGCCUUUCCUAUUUUGUUAAAGAAGUAAACUAAUUCCUAAACUUACACCACCAGUCAGCAUAGCAUUCAAGCAUGCCACUAGGCCAGGGCAUUCUAGCAAACCUCGCUCCCACUAUAGGUUAGUUCUUAGCUAUGCUUGCGACUAUUCUAAUCGACCGGACAAAAAACUAUGGGAGGAAUCAAAGGCAUGCAUCUGACCUCGGGUACAUGCACCAAUUGAAAUAAGAGGUGAUAAUGUUAUCAUAUAGCUAUAUUCGAUUCAUGAGUAACUUAACAACCAACCUGGACGGCAAAAGUUUACUUCACUUGGUAACAUGAGGUGGACACCGAAAGCUUGCUAUCUAAUUUUCUUCUCUGUAGAGGAAAACAAGUAUACCGAUAGUUGGACACUGAAAGUUUUCUAAAAUUAUUUUUAGAGUUGUAUAGUGUAUACAUUUAUAACGUAGAUCCUUACUCAUGUUACACCUUUCUUGUUCUUAUGGCGAAAACAUUAGCAUAUUAACCAUUUCUAUAUUUUUCUGUUAUUUUCUUUUAAUACAGUAGUGUCCAUGCUUAUAGAUUUCUAUUUAGUGUCAAUCUAGCAUACUCAUGUCACUCCCGUCCCAUUUUAGCUCUGUUGAUGGAUGAUUUCUGCCAUUUAUUUUUAUUCCCAUUUUAUAUAUUCUGAUUAUUGCUUCAUUAUUUAUCAACUGAUGAGGCAUGACUUUUGUGUGCACUUCUUACUGAUGAUGAUCCUGAUGUUAUUUGUUUGAGAAAAGACUGAGACGGCUUGAAGUGCAUAUUUAUCCUUAUUUUGUUCAAUUAUAAUGGGAUGAAGUAACUUAAUUGACCGAUAGUGUUGUUAGUAGUGAUAGACAAUAGGCAAUUUACUAGAGCAGUUCUGUGGGUAUUAGGCAUAGUCUUCUCUGUCUCUAAAACCAGCUUCGCAUGCAAGAUCUUAUCCUAUGCCAAGUUAUUCUGUGGGUAUAUUUUUGAAAUAUUUAUCUUUGUUGUUCCGCUUAGCUACACCCUCCUUAAGUAUUUUUUUUACAGAAUCUAGAAAAACAAAGUGCUUUGCUUCUUUCCUUGCCUGGUUCAAGGUUCCGAGACCACAUGCAGUGUGCGUUGGACAAUGUUGCUGAGGGUCCAGUUUCUCAUUUUUUAGAUUUUGUAGUAGCAGAUAUGUGUAUAAUAUAGAUAACUAAACUGGUGUUUAGGCGUUUUAGUGCAGGACUGCUACUUGCUCGAUUAGUUAGAUGAACUGGUGUUUAGAGAUUUUAGUAUGGAGUGAUGUUUUGGUCUUGAUUGUAGGGCUUCGAGAUGCACCAUGAGGGCUGAAACGAGGCUUAUACCAGGCUACAAAAUUAUCAUGCUUUUGGGAUUUUCCUGAAUUUAGUUAGCAUAAAUACGUCCAGAAUCUCUCAUGCAAUAUGUAAGUCUGUCGGUAACAACACUGAUUUUUCGAGUUUGUUCUGCCAAACAAAGUGUGGAACAUACUUCAUUUUUGCAGUUAAAAGAAGGAAAAGAGAACAUUGGGGGAAAAGGCAGCUGAGCGGAUUCUCUAAGCUUUCUCAAAUGUUUGAAGGAAAAGAUAGUUACAAUCAUUAUUCUCUCGCCUUACUACAUCUUGAUGUUAAUAGGCUUUGGAAGGUACUAUGCACCCGUUCAAGGUUUAUAGAAUUUGUACCAUCCUAUUAAAGUUUAUUCUGAUGAAAGAAUUGACCGGUUCUUCCUUGUGUAAAUUAAUAUUGCAGCUGCUACUCCUUUGUGCAUUGGUACAUAGUUAUAGUUUUGAAGGUAAAGAGCAUUUCGAGACGUCUGUCCCGAGGUGGCGUGCCGUGGGGGCCUCUCGGGGAUGCUUCGAGCCAUCAGACCCUGCUGGGCGGUCGGGGGGACCGCAGGGCGCGCCUAGGACCACCGUCAUUGGACGGCCUUCGUCGCACAACUACCCGCUCGCAAAGGCAUAGCCAGGCUCGCCUGUCAGCAUCCACCAUCAGCGAUCCGGGCUGGUCCAAUCAUGACAGGCAGGGUGUGCGUCACGCCCGCCUGCACCGGCUCACUGUGAGGGUCUCUCCGGGCGCUUCGAGUCCUCCGAUCUGCCCAGACGGUGUGGACCCAGACAACCCGGCUGGGUGGUCCAUGAUGGGUGUGAAGGAAAUAUGCCUUAGAGGCAAUAAUAAAGUUAUUAUUUAUUUUCUUAUUUCAUGAUAAAUGUUUAUUAUUCAUGCUAGAAUUGUAUUAACCGGAAACAUAAUACAUGCGUGAAUACAUAGACAAUAAAGUGUCACUAGUAUGCCUCUACU